AUUCUUUUUGCUAAGUGUUUGUAUCUAACUAGAAGUUAUUAGGAAUUAAAAUUUUCGUCAUUUUCCCCUUGUUCUUUUUUUUUGUCAUUGUUCUUUUAUUUUUCUUUUUCCCUGCUACCCUUUUCUUUUCUUUUCGAUUCUUUAAUUUUCUUUUUCAUUUUGAUCAAAUUCGUAAGUACGGGUCUAGACGAAGUCAUACGCCAUUAGUUGCAUUGAUUGAAGGUUAGUAAGUAAGUUUCAAUGUUAAUUCAUUGAAUUUCGGGUUAUGUUCUGAAUUUGGCAUCUUGA
rnacentral:lncRNA from 1 species